GGAAGUAAAAGUCGUAACAAGGUUUCCGUAGGUGAACCUGCGGAAGGAUCAUUAUUGAAAUACCUGAUGAAGUUGUUGCUGGUUCUCUAGGGAGCAUGUGCACACUUUGUCAUGUUUUUAUAUCUUCACCUGUGCAUCUUUUGUAGACUUGGAUUGAUUCCAGGCCUAUGUAUAUCUUAUCUACUCCAGUAUAGAAUGUAUAAUAAGACAACGGCCUUUUGUGCCUUUAUUUUUAUACAACUUUCAGCAAUGGAUCUCUAGGCUCUUGCAUCGAUGAAGAACGCAGCGAAAUGCGAUAAGUAAUGUGAAUUGCAGAAUUCAGUGAAUCAUCAAAUCUUUGAACGCACCUUGCGCUCCUUGGUAUUCCGAGGAGCAUGCCUGUUUGAGUGUCAUUUAUAUAUCAUCAGCACUCAUUGAGUGUUGGAUUUGUGGGGGUUUGGUGGCCUUUUGAGGUCAGCUCCCCUGAAAAGCAUUAGCAGAACAAUUUAUGUUUCAUUGGUGUGAUAAUUAUCUAUGCUAUUGAACAUGAAGCAAGUUUGGCUUCUAACAUGAAUUUCAUAAAUGUGACCUCAAAUCAGGUAGGACUACCCGCUGAACUUAAGCAUAUCAAUAAGCGGAGGAAAAGAAACUAACAAGGAUUCCCCUAGUAACUGCGAGUGAAGCGGGAAAAGCUCAAAUUUAAAAUCUGGCAGUCCUUUAACUGCCCGAGUUGUAAUCUAGAGAAGUGUUAUCUGCGCUGGACCAUGUACAAGUCUUCUGGAAUGGAGCAUCAUAGAGGGUGAGAAUCCCGUCUUUGACAUGGACUGCCAGGGCUUUGUGAUGCACUCUCAAAGAGUCGAGUUGUUUGGGAAUGCAGCUCAAAAUGGGUGGUAAAUUCCAUCUAAAGCUAAAUAUUGGCAAGAGACCGAUAGUGAACAAGUACCGUGAGGGAAAGAUGAAAAGAACUUUGGAAAGAGAGUUAAACAGUAUGUGAAAUUGCUGAAAGGGAAACACUUGAAGUCAGUCACAUUGUCCAGGGAUCAUCCCUUGCUUUUGCUUGGUGUACUUUCUGGUUGAUGGGUCAGCAUCAAUUUUGACUAUUGGAAAAAGGUUGAGGGAAUGUGGCAUCUUAGGAUGUGUUAUAGCCCUUGGUUGCAUACAAUAGUUGGGAUUGAGGAACUCAGCAUGCCGCAAGGCCGGGUUUUUUUUUACAAAAAACCACGUACAUGCUUAGGAUGCUGGCAUAAAUGGCUUUAAUUGACCCGUCUUG
rnacentral:rRNA from 1 species